UUUAUUUAGUGUUCUCACCCCUCCUUUCUCUCCCAGACUAGAAACCCAUGGUUAAUCACAAGCGUCUUCAGCAUCCCGUCCUGCUUCUGUCUGAUAAAACUUCACCCUUGGAUCAACCCACCUCUGUCUCUGCGCUUCUGAAAUCCUGGGACCCACUGCAGGAGACACCGUUCAUAGCUGGGGUGGCCACAGAACUUUCUGGGAAGAGCUUUGGAGUCAGACAAGACCGGCUUCCGCGGAGCUGCAGUCUCGGUGGUUGUGAAACGGGGGUAUUGAUGAUCAUUCGCCACCGUGAGGAAGCGUGGAGGGAGCUGCCACCCGGAGCCCGGGCACCCGUCCCGGCGCUGCCCUGUGCUUGGCCCUGGGGACACAGCAGUGGAGACAGCCCUGCCUGCCAGCAUGGAAGCGGCUUGAGCUAACAUUAGUACUAGCGGUCUGUUAUUAUAGCAGCUUUAUUGGUGUAUUUACAUUAAAGUACAAAAUCUUGGGGCGCCUGGGUGGCUCCGUCGGUUGAGCGUCCGCCUUCGGCUCAGGUCACGAUCUCUCAGUUCGUGAGUUCGAACCUUGUGUCGGGCUCUGUGCUGACAGCUCAGAGCCUAGAGCCUCUUUGGAUUCUGUGUCUCCCUCUCUCUCCGCCCCUCCCUGCUCGCUGUCUGUCUCUCUCUCUCAAAAAUCAAUACACAUUAAAAAAAAUUAAAGUACAGAAUCUUUGUGAGUGACCAGAUGAAUGUUCCCAUAUGUCCACACUGUGGCUCCGUGCGGAUCGAGUCAUAGCACCUUCCAGUCCCCCAGGAGCCUCCACCGAGGGCAGCUACUGUUUUGACCUUUAC
rnacentral:lncRNA from 1 species